GUGGCCACGCACCGGAAAUCUGGAAAUCUGCGAAAGCGAAAGCGAUGCCGCCAUGAAAUCCGGCGGAGCGGCUGGGAAGUGGCGGCCGCGGGCCUAGGAGGGCGACGCGGCCGCCAAGAGGAGCCGCGGGCCCGGCACCGGGAUGGGCAAUUUUUGUCCCCAAUGUGGACAGAAAGUUGAAGAAAUGUUUCACUUCUGUCCUGCCUGCGGAGGCCGGCUUCCGGUUCAAGAAGAAGAACCAAUGCAGAUCACCCCAUCUCCUUCUCUGAAUGAUGAGGAGGAAUCUGUGAAAAAAAACCCAACAAAUGUUCCCUGGUUUGGCAGGUGAGUAGUAUUUACGGUCUAACUGAGGCAUUUGGUGAUUCCCAGCGUCACUAAGAAUGUCCUGGUUUUUAUUAUGCCCCCUUAGCGACAGGACAGAGAAACAUCUUCAGGAACUGAACUGUGGGUGCUCUGUACAAUUGUCCCUUCAGAGCACCCCUCCUCUUUAAUUCAAAAAGUGGGAGAGGUCAGGACUCACUCUAAAGGGUUACUUCAACCCUCAGGGCUUCACCAGUAAGCCACGGGCAAGGAAAGAGGAAUUAUCUGCAUUACGCAAGCUUCCAGUCCAUGCAAUGCAACCCUCGAUACGUAGGCUGGCUCAGAAUCUCUCCUGCCUCUCUCUGUGUCCUUCUAGGGCACGGCAAAGGAGCGGAGCUUUGGCGAGGUGAAGUUCAAGCAGUGAGCAUUUUAAGAAACACGGCACUGAGC